rnacentral:lncRNA from 1 species
UUCCAAAUUUACCAAAAGCACACCAUGAAGGCAGUCCCGCAGAUAGGGCUAGAAGUGGGUUGGGCCGUCAGGAGGCUCAUCGAGCUGGGCUUUAGACUUGGCCCUAAACCAUUCAGGCCAGACUUUAGCAAAAAAAAUAGAGUCCGUUUGGCCAUCGGGCUGGGCUCGGGCAGACAUUUGGCCCGGCCCAGAGCCGAUCCGAUUGGAUUCAGAUCGAUUAACCCCCCUCUCCCCCG